UUUGUCAGCGAAAGGGGAGCGGGGUUAUAAAAGACACGGAAGAAGACGAAGGCGAGCGUGCUGCCGCAUGCUCGCCCUUUCUCGUGCUUCAGGCGGUGACGAUCAGCAGCGGAACGCUGACGAUGAGACCGGCCAAAACCAUGAACGUGGCGAAGCGCAUCAACCGCAGGCGCCGCGUCCGUUCUCCACUCCAAUCAUAUGUCAUUCUUCCAUCUCCUUGGGACAAGGAAGUAGUCCCCGCAA
rnacentral:sRNA from 1 species